UGGCCCAGGUAGAGCAAUCCCUCCCGGGGGGCUCUCAUGAGCGGAUCCGGGCACCCCGGGAGGUGGCGGGGACUACCUUUCCCAAGAUGCCGUGCUCUGGGUUUCGUUCGGCGCUAAGAGUAGAGACCCGUGAUUGAGAUCUUCCCCGUCAAUUAGAAGAGGGUUCCAGCACAUACUAUCAAUAUGAUGUCCCUGUUGAUAUUGACCGGAUCACCUGCUGGGUUGCUGUUCGCCAGAAUUCUCCAGUGUUCGUGUAUCUACCACCACAGUCAAGAUACUGAACAGUUUCUUCACUACAAGGAUACCUUAUGUUACCCUCUUAUAACAACGUCCACUUUCCUACCUGUUUCCCCUGUCCAUCUCUAACCAUGAAUGGCACGAAUUUGGUCUCCAUUUCUAAAAUUUAGUCCUUUCAAAAUGUUAUAGAAAUGAAAUCACAUAAUGUGUAACUAUUUGGGAUUGACUUUUUUCACUCAUGAUAAUUUUCUUGAGAUUCCUCCAAGUUGUUACUUGUAACAGUAGUUUGUUCCUGUGUAUUAUGGAGUAGUGUUCCAUGGUAUAGAUGUACCACAAUUUGUUUAACCGUUAACCUGUUGAA